GCGUUGUCCGGAUUUAUUGGGCGUAAAGAGCGUGUAGGCGGCCAGGUAGGUCUGCUGUGAAAACUCGAGGCUUAACCUCGAGCUGUCGGCGGAAACCAUCUGGCUAGAGUCCGGAAGAGGAGAAUGGAAUUCCCGGUGUAGCGGUGAAAUGCGCAGAUAUCGGGAAGAACACCCGUGGCGAAGGCGGUUCUCUGGGACGGUACUGACGCUGAGACGCGAAAGCGUGGGGAGCGAACAGG
rnacentral:rRNA from 1 species